rnacentral:rRNA from 1 species
ACGUAGGGUGCGAGCGUUAAUCGGAAUUACUGGGCGUAAAGGGUGCGUAGGCGGUUGUGUAAGUCAGAUGUGAAAUCCCCGGGCUCAACCUUGGAACUGCAUUUGAGACUGCACGGCUAGAGGAUGGCAGAGGGAGGUAGAAUUCCACGUGUAGCGGUGAAAUGCGUAGAGAUGUGGAGGAAUACCGAUGGCGAAGGCAGCCCCCUGGGCUAUUACUGACACUCAUGCACGAAAGCGUGGGGAGCAAACAG